rnacentral:rRNA from 1 species
UACGUAGGGGGCAAGCGUUGUCCGGAAUCAUUGGGCGUAAAGAGCGUGUAGGCGGUCUGUCACGUCGGAUGUGAAAGCCCGGGGCUUAACUCCGGGUCUGCAUUCGAUACGGGCAGACUAGAGUGUGGUAGGGGAGAUCGGAAUUCCUGGUGUAGCGGUGAAAUGCGCAGAUAUCAGGAGGAACACCGGUGGCGAAGGCGGAUCUCUGGGCCAUUACUGACGCUGAGGAGCGAAAGCGUGGGGAGCGAACAGG